rnacentral:rRNA from 1 species
UACAGAGACUGCAAGCGUUAUUCGGAUUCACUGGGCGUAAAGGGUGCGCAGGCGGCCAAGUGUGUGAGGCGUGAAAGCCCGGGGCUUAACCCCGGAAUUGCACCUCAAACUACUAGGCUAGAGCAUUGGAGAGGGUAGCAGAAUUCAUGGUGUAGCAGUGAAAUGCGUAGAUAUCAUGAGGAACACCAGUGGCGAAGGCGACUACCCUGGCUGUUCUUGACGCUGAGGCGCGAAAGCUAGGGAAGCAAACAGG